AUGCAUGAGGCGCGCCCUUUAGCCGUCCGCAAAUAUAUUGCAACUCAAGGCUAUAAGAGUCUUGAUAAGAAAGCCGGUAGGAGACUCCGUCUUGAGAAGGACAAGUACAUGGAGGUUACUCCGAGAUGGUGCGUCGAUAAGGGGGAGUGUUGGGAGCGGAUCGUGGACUAUUGGUGUUCCAAAGAGUACAGGGCGAAAAACAAAGAUUAUAGAAAUCGGCGAGCCGCAAUGCUGGAUCCACCACAUCAUCAAGGAAACUUGAACGUUAUGGAGUUCGGUGAACGUUGGGGGUCUCACCAUAAUGCUCCACUGCCCAACCUUUUCGUCUUGUAUGCUUUGGCCCAUAAGGCACCGUACAGAACAGCCACGCCUUACGAUGAGAAUGACACAGCGUCCGCGUACUCCAGCAAGACCGCCUACGAUCGGAUGGAGAAAUUUAAAGGGAUGGCAAAAGAGUUGAAAGGGCCCGAGUAUGAUGUGACAACAGAGCCUCUUGAC
rnacentral:rRNA from 1 species